rnacentral:rRNA from 1 species
GGGCGAAAGCCUGACGGAGCAAUACCGCGUGAGGGAGGAAGGCUCUUGGGUUGUAAACCUCUUUUCUCAGGGAAGAAAAAAAUGACGGUACCUGAGGAAUAAGCAUCGGCUAACUCCGUGCCAGCAGCCGCGGUAAUACGGAGGAUGCAAGCGUUAUCCGGAAUGAUUGGGCGUAAAGCGUCCGCAGGUGGCGAUGAAAGUCUGCUGUUAAAGAGUGAGGCUCAACCUCAUAAAAGCAGUGGAAACUACAUAGCUAGAGUACGUUCGGGGCAGAGGGAAUUCCUGGUGUAGCGGUGAAAUGCGUAGAGAUCAGGAAGAACACCGGUGGCGAAAGCGCUCUGCUAGGCCUGUACUGACACUGAGGGACGAAAGCUAGGGGAGCGAAUGGGAUUAGAUACCCC